rnacentral:lncRNA from 10 species
GCGGCCUCGGGAGGCGAACAAGCCCUCUGGGCGCGAAGGGAGAGCGGAAGUCGAGGAUCGCGCGACCCCAGAUGUGUCGGGGUCCUAAGACGGUUCUCAUCCAGCCAUGUUCCCCCCACGGGCCUCCUGACCUCACCGGGGGUGAUUUCGUCCCCUCCUCGGGCAGGGCGUGGGCUUGGGAAGCGCGGGCGCUUAGGGGAUGGAAGGUGGAAGCAACCAUUUUAAAGCAUCGUAUCCCACCAUUUUCUGCUCCAAAUAUCCAGCCAAAAUUGGGUGCCACAGUGCGCACUAAAUGCAAAGUCCGCCGUUCCUGCUUUUCCUCGACAAAGACGCCCCGUCUUUAAGUAAAAUUGGCAGAUCUCAGUCUUAACCCCGCUCAGUAUUUGGAUGAAAUAGGCUGUAAGUUAACGCCCUAAACAGAGUAUGGACCGCCCAGAUUCAAUGGAUUACCACCCCCGGGAGUAACACCAAGGCCCCUCUCAGUGAAUUGAGUGUGAGACUUAAUAGGAAGACCAGCUGAGAUGGCUCACGCCUGCAAUCCCAGCGCUUUGGGAGGCCGACGUGGGAGAAUCACUUGAGCCCAGGAGUUGGAGACCUGCCUGGGCAACAUAGCAAGGCCCCUUUACAGAAUAUUUAGGGCCAGGCACAUUGGCUCACACCUGUGAUCCCAGCACUUGGGAAGGUCGAGGAGGGAGGACUUAAGCCCAAGAGUUCAGGACUAGCCUGGGCAACAUAGCAAGAUCCCAUCUACACACAAAAAAAUAAUAACUGGGCUUGGUGGGAUGCCCCUGUGGUCCUAGCUACUGGGGAGGCUAAGCCAGGAGGACUGUUUGAGCCCAGGAGUUCAGGGCUGCAGUGAGCCUUGAUUGCACCACUGCACUCUAGCCUGGGGAACAGAGUGAGGCCCUGUCUCAAAAUAGAUACAUAGAGGAAAUCUUGCCUCCUCCCUGAGGCGUGCUUGCUCCCAGCACUGAGAGGAGGGUAGUGACGGAUUACAAGAGUUGUCAAAAAAAACUGGACCUGAGUCAAAAAGACCCAGGUUCCACCAUUUAAGAACCAUGCAAUCUGGGGGAGUCACCUCUCAGCU